GGACGAUUAGCUCAGUUGGGAGAGCAUCGCCCUUACAAGGCGAGGGUCACUGGUUCGAGCCCAGUAUCGUCCA
rfam:Thalassotalea sp. ND16A ctg43, whole genome shotgun sequence.